AGCGGCCCCGGGGCAGCGGUGCGGGAAGCGGUGCGGGAAGAGCUGGGACAGCCGCCCCUCGAGAUAUGUAGGUGUGAAUUCAAGAAGCCCCCAACACAUAAUUCUGCCCGGUCACAGAAUGUUAGGGGUUGGAAGGGACCUCGAGAGGUCCAACCCCCCUGCAAUGGCAGCAUCACCCAAAGUUUUGAUGGCAUGCCUGAAAGAUAAACCUGGACACUUUUGAUGGAACCUCUUUAAUUUUCAACCAGUUUCCUCCCCCUCUUACUGACAAAGAGAAAUGUGAGUUUUGAUUUUCCACAAACUGCAUGUCACAAAAAAUUUCUCAUGGAAAGUCUCAACAAAUCUUUUCCAAUGACUUUCCUGAUAUGCAAGAUCCUUCAUCCUGUGAAUUCUGUGUGAUGGCAAUAGCAUUUGAAGUGGGAGAAGAGGCUUCCCAAGGUCAGAAAACAUUACUGAGGAACCAUCAUGGAUCUCAACAGGACUGUUAAUUUCCAUCACAGUGAAUCAUGUCAACAUAUGGGGAGCCUUAAUGGAAUGGAGAUCAGAAGUAACGGAGUACCACAGUAAGAGCAAAAGAUGAAAGGGAGGACAAAUGCAACAUGCAUUACACUAGGCAGUGACAAUGGGGAAGGUGUGAGCCAUGGCAUGCUUUCUUCCCCUCUUAAGA